rnacentral:rRNA from 1 species
UAUCAGCUAGUUGGUGAGGUAAUGGCUCAACCAAGGCUAAUGACGCAUAACUGGUCUGAGAGGAUGAUCAGUCACACUGGAACUGAGACACGGUCCAGACUCCUACGGGAGGCAGCAGUAGGGAAUAUUGCUCAAUGGGGGAAACCCUGAAGCAGCAACGCCGCGUGGAGGAUGACACUUUUCGGAGCGUAAACUCCUUUUGUUAGGGAAGAACAAUGACGGUACCUAACGAAUAAGCACCGGCUAACUCCGUGCCAGCAGCCGCGGUAAUACGGAGGGUGCAAGCGUUACUCGGAAUCACUGGGCGUAAAGGACGCGUAGGCGGAUUAUCAAGUCUCUUGUGAAAUCCUAUGGCUUAACCAUAGAACUGCUUGGGAAACUGGUAAUCUAGAGUGAGGGAGAGGCAGAUGGAAUUGGUGGUGUAGGGGUAAAAUCCGUAGAGAUCACCAGGAAUACCCAUUGCGAAGGCGAUCUGCUGGAACUCAACUGACGCUAAUGCGUGAAAGCGUGGGGAGCAAACAGGAUUAGAUACCCUGGUAGUCCACGCCCUAAACGAUGUAUACUAGUUGUUGCUAAGCUAGUCUUGGCAGUAAUGCACCUAACGGAUUAAGUAUACCGCCUGGGGAGUACGGUCGCAAGAUUAAAACUCAAAGGAAUAGACGGGGACCCGCACAAGCGGUGGAGCAUGUGGUUUAAUUCGAAGAUACGCGAAGAACCUUACCCGGACUUGAUAUCUAACAAAUCAUCUAGAGAUAGAAGAGUGUCUGCUUGCAGAAAUGUUAAGACAGGUGCUGCACGGCUGUCGUCAGCUCGUGUCGUGAGAUGUUGGGUUAAGUCCCGCAACGAGCGCAACCCACGUCAUUAGUUGCUAACAGUUCGGCUGAGCACUCUAAUGAGACUGCCUUCGUAAGGAGGAGGAAGGUGUGGACGACGUCAAGUCAUCAUGGCCCUUAUGUCCGGGGCGACACACGUGCUACAAUGGCAUAUACAAUGAGAAGCAAUAUCGCGAGAUGGAGCAAAUCUAUAAAAUAUGUCCCAGUUCGGAUUGGAGUCUGCAACUCGACUCCAUGAAGCCGGAAUCGCUAGUAAUCGUAGAUCAGCCAUGCUACGGUGAAUACGUUCCCGGGUCUUGUACUCACCGCCCGUCACACCAUGGGAGUUGAUUUCACUCGAAGCCGGAAUACUAAAUUAGUUACCGUCCACAGUGGAAUCAGCGACUGGGGUGAAGUC